rnacentral:rRNA from 1 species
GAUGAACGCUGGCGGCGUGCCUAAUACAUGCAAGUCGAGCGAACAGACGAGGAGCUUGCUCCUCUGACGUUAGCGGCGGACGGGUGAGUAAAACGUGGAUAACCUACCUAUAAGACUGGGAUAACUUCGGGAAACCGGAGCUAAUACCGGAUAAUAUAUUGAACCGCAUGGUUCAAUAGUGAAAGACGGUUUUGCUGUCACUUAUAGAUGGAUCCGCGCCGCAUUAGCUAGUUGGUAAGGUAACGGCUUACCAAGGCAACGAUGCGUAGCCGCCCUGAGAGGUGGAGGGGCAACACGGGAGAUGGGACAGGGCCGGGCCCCCGCGGGGGGGCAGCAGGCGGAAUUCUUCAGAAAGGGGCGAAGCCCGAAGGGAGCAGCGCCGGGGGAGUAAGAAAGUUUUUCGGAUCUAAAAACUUUUUUAUGGGGAAAAAAAAAAGUUGAAAGAAACUUGGCCCGUUUGGAGGUUCCAUAAUAAGAAGCCCAGGACAAACUAGGGC